rnacentral:rRNA from 1 species
GUAGGUGGCAAGCGUUGUCCGGAAUUAUUGGGCGUAAAGCGCGCGCAGGCGGGUUCUUUAAGUCUGAUGUGAAAGCCCACGGGCUCAACCGUGGAGGGUCAUUGGAAACUGGAGAACUUGAGUACAGAAGAGGAAAGCGGAAUUCCACGUGUAGCGGUGAAAUGCGUAGAGAUGUGGAGGAACACCAGUGGCGAAGGCGGCUUUCUGGUCCGUAACUGACGCUGAGGCGCGAAAGCGUGGGGAGCAAACAGGAUUAGAUACCCUGGUAGUCCACGCCGUAAGCGAUGAGUGCUAAGUGUUAGGGGGUUUCCGCCCCUUAGUGCUGCAGCUAACGCAUUAAGCACUCCGCCUGGGGAGUACGACCGCAAGGUUG